rnacentral:lncRNA from 1 species
UUCAGGAUAUAACUGGGAGCAUUGUGUAGAUAUAGGAAUAGUUACAGUGCAGACCCUAUGUGAAAAGGAUCAGGUGAACUGCAGGGAAGAAGUUGCAAGGAGUCAGAGGAUGAAAGCCAUUCUUCCUAAAGGGCUUAACUUUGCCAUUAGUUCAGCCCCAAAGUACAGAGACUGGCCCAGUGCAUGUGACACAGCCCAUACUUAAUCUGCUCCUUUUUGAAGCAUCUAACAAGCAACUACUUUAAAACAAACGAAAAGUGAAUCAUUGCCUUGCAGCUAGAGAGUAUGGAAGAAGCCAUGGCCUCCAGAUGAGGACACAUGCAUGAUUAAGAUGUUUAUAUCCAGCUGUGAGGCUUAGUGACUGACCUCUGAAACAAGGUGUGUUUCAACUAAAGAAUUACCUUCACACAAUGAAAACACAUUCAUGAUGGAUAUAUGGAAGAAACUCAAGUUUACCUGUAAAUUCCAAGAAUCAUGUCCUGAAGAAAUCAGCCAACACAGCAACAGUGAGACCUUGUGUGCACUUAAUGUUGUUUGGGGCAAUAAAGGUUAAGUGAGAUUCUUUCCUUGCUCAUGGUGUCAAAAAUCAAUGAGCGGAUUCCAAGGAGACUGAGGGUAUUGUAAAAACUGAAUGCAUCCUGUACUCUCCAUUGGUACUAGGAAAAAAAAAGUCACCAGCCCUCUUAGAAAAGAGUGUAAGGGACCACAGAAGAGAUCUUACGUUAGCAUAGACAGUGACUUACAGCCAAUGUACCACCUAGUGUGAGAGAUGUAGGGAGGAAGUAUAUUUUUCAAUAGAGCCAGAAAUGCUCAACUAUCUGGUGAAUUCAGAAAUGGUAGGUGGUUCAGAAAAACAAAAAAAAUAAAAAUAAAAACAGAAUAAUAACAAGAAAAUCAGUAGCGAUCCACCUAGUGGAAGCCUGGGAUGCAAACCAGACCACAAUAAAACUUCGUAGACCUGGGAGAUUAAGAAGCCUAAGAGACCAGGGCAAGGGACAAGCUGCUUUUCAAGGCUCAUUUGUACAGCAUGGCUGCCUAACUGAGCAAGACUAAAGUUAUCCUUGAGCAUUGGCUCUUGAGAUAGACAAAGUCUGCCUUCAAAGUGAGCAGGAAGCCCCUUUAGUCACGAUCAUUCUGACGUGUGUGAUGCACAUAGGUGAUGACCAUAGUCGAGGCAGGGGCUACGGCUCCUGUGUCAGCUGUCUAUAAAUUUUGCAAUCUGUUGUAGAUGUGGGCCUCCGCACUCAAGACUUCAUCCAUUCUAAGGCAGGCAUUCCUCUGUUCUCCUUAUCACAACAUCCACCAUGGCCUCUGAGAACCUCACGUUGGUGUGAAGAACCCCUCUGCAUCCAGUUGACAAUACUCGAAAUCUUGUCUUACUCCUUUGAGCCUGACUCAAAGCAGCGAUGAGCUGCUUCCAACUACCCAUUCGUAACAGUGGAGAUCUUGUCUUUACUUAAACCAGCUUUCCUGGGGCCUCGGUUCAUUCCCCUGAAUUUAACCAAGCUUGAGGCUUAGUGUGGGGCUGUGCCUAUGUGACCUGUCCAUUUAUCCACUCUCUUUCGUCCUGUCAUCUGAUCACCUAUUUUCUCGCCAAGAUUUUUUCUAUCCCAUGGCCGCAUUUGUCUUAGGUUAAACAUAUAUUCUUGGAAACAUGAAAUCACAACUCUCAAAAACCGUGAACCACCAGACCCUCCCCAGGACACGGAGGCAGCUACCUUCAAAGAAAACUACCAUGAACGCUAAAGGGUAAAUAGAGGUCCAGCUGUGGCUGCUGCCCUGAGAACCCAGAAAGAUGGGAAGAAACAGAAGUCUUUUACACACCAUGUUUUUUUUUUUCUGGACUCCUUAGGAUCACAACUCCUGUCCAGCCAUGUUGCACCCAUGACUGGCUGCUCUGCUGAGCUGGUAAGUCAGAUCUAGGACAGGUCCGAAGCUGAGGAGUCAUGAAGUGAUUAGAGAUGGGCAUCUCUAGGUGAUGAGAUGAGAGGGAAAAGGGGAGUUGUCAUGGAGUGUCAUUGUGCCAAGUCAUGCUCUGAACAAGGACAACAUUGAUAAUGAAGUGUACAUGAGUCAAUACCUU